UACGUAGGGUGCGAGCGUUGUCCGGAAUUAUUGGGCGUAAAGAGCUUGUAGGCGGUUUGUCGCGUCUGCUGUGAAAAUCCGGGGCUCAACCCCGGACUUGCAGUGGGUACGGGCAGACUAGAGUGUGGUAGGGGAGACUGGAAUUCCUGGUGUAGCGGUGAAAUGCGCAGAUAUCAGGAGGAACACCCGUGGCGAAGGCGGCCCUCUGGCUCGACCCUGACGCUGAGGCGCGAAAGCGUGGGGAGCGAACGGG
rnacentral:rRNA from 1 species